GGGUUGUGAGGUUAAGCGACUAAGCGUACACGGUGGAUGCCCUGGCAGUCAGAGGCGAUGAAGGGCGUGCUAAUCUGCGAUAAGCGCCGGUAAGGUGAUAUGAACCGUUAUAACCGGCGAUACCCGAAUGGGGAAACCCAGUGUGAUUCGUCACACUAUCAUUAACUGAAUCCAUAGGUUAAUGAGGCGAACCGGGGAACUGAAACAUCUAAGUACCCCGAGGAAAAGAAAUCAACCGAGAUUCCCCAGUAGCGGCGAGCGAACGGGGAGGAGCCCAGAGCCUGAAUCAGCAUGUGUGUUAGUGGAAGCGUCUGGAAAGGCGCGCGAUACAGGGUGACAGCCCCGUACACAAAAGCGCAUGUGCUGUGAGCUCGAUGAGUAGGGCGGGACACGUGGUAUCCUGUCUGAAUAUGGGGGGACCAUCCUCCAAGGCUAAAUACUCCUGACUGACCGAUAGUGAACCAGUACCGUGAGGGAAAGGCGAAAAGAACCCCGGCGAGGGAGUGAAAAAGAACCUGAAACCGUGUACGUACAAGCAGUGGGAGCACCCUUUGGGGUGUGACUGCGUACCUUUUGUAUAAUGGGUCAGCGACUUAUAUUCUGUAGCAAGGUUAACCGUAUAGGGGAGCCGGAGGGAAACCGAGUCUUAACCGGGCGUUAAGUUGCAGGGUAUAGACCCGAAACCCGGUGAUCUAGCCAUGGGCAGGUUGAAGGUUGGGUAACACUAACUGGAGGACCGAACCGACUAAUGUUGAAAAAUUAGCGGAUGACCUGUGGCUGGGGUGAAAGGCCAAUCAAACCGGGAGAUAGCUGGUUCUCCCCGAAAGCUAUUUAGGUAGCGCCUCGUGAAUUCAUCUCCGGGGUAGAGCACUGUUUCGGCUAGGGGGCCAUCCCGGCUUACCAACCCGAUGCAAACUGCGAAUACCGGAGAAUGUUAUCACGGGAGACACACGGCGGGUGCUAACGUCCGUCGUGAAGAGGGAAACAACCCAGACCGCCAGCUAAGGUCCCAAAGUCAUGGUUAAGUGGGAAACGAUGUGGGAAGGCCCAGACAGCCAGGAUGUUGGCUUAGAAGCAGCCAUCAUUUAAAGAAAGCGUAAUAGCUCACUGGUCGAGUCGGCCUGCGCGGAAGAUGUAACGGGGCUAAACCAUGCACCGAAGCUGCGGCAGCGACGCUGAUGCGUUGUUGGGUAGGGGAGCGUUCUGUAAGCCUGCGAAGGUGGCCUGUGAGGGUUGCUGGAGGUAUCAGAAGUGCGAAUGCUGACAUAAGUAACGAUAAAGCGGGUGAAAAGCCCGCUCGCCGGAAGACCAAGGGUUCCUGUCCAACGUUAAUCGGGGCAGGGUGAGUCGACCCCUAAGGCGAGGCCGAAAGGCGUAGUCGAUGGGAAACGGGUUAAUAUUCCCGUACUUGGUGUUACUGCGAAGGGGGGACGGAGAAGGCUAUGUUGGCCGGGCGACGGUUGUCCCGGUUUAAGCGUGUAGGUGUGUGUUCCAGGUAAAUCCGGUUCACUUUAACACUGAGGCGUGAUGACGAGGCACUACGGUGCUGAAGCAACAAAUGCCCUGCUUCCAGGAAAAGCCUCUAAGCAUCAGGUAACAUCAAAUCGUACCCCAAACCGACACAGGUGGUCAGGUAGAGAAUACCAAGGCGCUUGAGAGAACUCGGGUGAAGGAACUAGGCAAAAUGGUGCCGUAACUUCGGGAGAAGGCACGCUGACACGUAGGUGAAGUGAUUUACUCAUGGAGCUGAAGUCAGUCGAAGAUACCAGCUGGCUGCAACUGUUUAUUAAAAACACAGCACUGUGCAAACACGAAAGUGGACGUAUACGGUGUGACGCCUGCCCGGUGCCGGAAGGUUAAUUGAUGGGGUCAGCGCAAGCGAAGCUCCUGAUCGAAGCCCCGGUAAACGGCGGCCGUAACUAUAACGGUCCUAAGGUAGCGAAAUUCCUUGUCGGGUAAGUUCCGACCUGCACGAAUGGCGUAAUGAUGGCCAGGCUGUCUCCACCCGAGACUCAGUGAAAUUGAACUCGCUGUGAAGAUGCAGUGUACCCGCGGCAAGACGGAAAGACCCCGUGAACCUUUACUAUAGCUUGACACUGAACAUUGAGCCUUGAUGUGUAGGAUAGGUGGGAGGCUUUGAAGUGUGGACGCCAGUCUGCAUGGAGCCGACCUUGAAAUACCACCCUUUAAUGUUUGAUGUUCUAACGUGGACCCGUGAUCCGGGUUGCGGACAGUGUCUGGUGGGUAGUUUGACUGGGGCGGUCUCCUCCUAAAGAGUAACGGAGGAGCACGAAGGUUGGCUAAUCCUGGUCGGACAUCAGGAGGUUAGUGCAAUGGCAUAAGCCAGCUUGACUGCGAGCGUGACGGCGCGAGCAGGUGCGAAAGCAGGUCAUAGUGAUCCGGUGGUUCUGAAUGGAAGGGCCAUCGCUCAACGGAUAAAAGGUACUCCGGGAUAACAGGCUGAUACCGCCCAAGAGUUCAUAUCGACGGCGGUGUUUGGCACCUCGAUGUCGGCUCAUCACAUCCUGGGGCUGAAGUAGGUCCCAAGGGUAUGGCUGUUCGCCAUUUAAAGUGGUACGCGAGCUGGGUUUAGAACGUCGUGAGACAGUUCGGUCCCUAUCUGCCGUGGGCGCUGGAGAACUGAGGGGGGCUGCUCCUAGUACGAGAGGACCGGAGUGGACGCAUCACUGGUGUUCGGGUUGUCAUGCCAAUGGCACUGCCCGGUAGCUAAAUGCGGAAGAGAUAAGUGCUGAAAGCAUCUAAGCACGAAACUUGCCCCGAGAUGAGUUCUCCCUGAGACUUUAGGUCUCCUGAAGGAACGUUGAAGACGACGACGUUGAUAGGCCGGGUGUGUAAGCGCAGCGAUGCGUUGAGCUAACCGGUACUAAUGAACCGUGAGGCUUAACCUUACAACGCCGAAG
rnacentral:rRNA from 2 species